UACGUAGGGUGCGAGCGUUAAUCGGAAUUACUGGGCGUAAAGCGUGCGCAGGCGGUGAUGUAAGACAGUUGUGAAAUCCCCGGGCUCAACCUGGGAACUGCAUCUGUGACUGCAUUGCUGGAGUGCAGCAGAGGGGGAUGGAAUUCCGCGUGUAGCAGUGAAAUGCGUAGAUAUGCGGAGGAACACCGAUGGCGAAGGCAAUCCCCUGGGCCUGCACUGACGCUCAUGCACGAAAGCGUGGGGAGCAAACAGG
rnacentral:rRNA from 1 species